UACGUAGGGAGCAAGCGUUGUCCGGAAUCAUUGGGCGUAAAGCGCGCGUAGGUGGCUUCGUAAGUCCGUUGUGAAAGUCAAAGGCUCAACCUUGGAAAGCCGAUGGAUACUGUGAAGCUAGAGUACGGAAGAGGCGAGUGGAAUUCCUGGUGUAGCGGUGGAAUGCGCAGAUAUCAGGAGGAACACCAAUAGCGAAGGCAGCUCGCUGGGACGUUACUGACGCUAAGGCGCGAAAGCGUGGGGAGCGAACAGG
rnacentral:rRNA from 1 species